GUCACAGGGUUCAUCCCGCAUUCCAUCAGAGAAAAGCUUUCAUAAUGGCACGGAUACCAGGAGUGGGGGAUCACUGGGGACUGAUUCGGAUGGAGACUACCAGGGGAAAAAGGAAGAGAAGUACUGGAACAAAGGCCUUGCCUGGGCAUGAGCGGACAGGAUCUAGCACGGGAGCAGAGAUGUGAAAGAGGGAUCAUGCAGAGUCUGUUGCUUCUUCAAGAAGCCACCUUGUGAUCAGAAGGAAAGUCAGCCAAGAUACAGCUGAAAGGACCACAGAGAAACUUAGCCAGACAUGACUGAACUGGGUGGAAGCCACUCUGCCUCUGGAUGUUGGAGUGAAACCAGCCAAUAAUAUUUCUUUUUGUGGAAACUUGAGUAGGAUUUCUGUUUUUUUUUUUUUGUUUUUUUUUUUUUUUUAAUGUUGUUGUUGUUGUUGUUGUUGCCUGAACCCAAGAAGAGCCUCCAACUAAUUUCAAAUGAAAAUACCAUUGGGAUGAGUGGAAAUAACGGCAAUAAGUAGAGGGAAUUAUUGGAUGUACAGAGGAAGAAUAAAUCAAGGGAAGAAGAGGAGAACAGCAUGUCUGCACCCUGAAAGAGAAAAUAGGCGAAGUAUGGCUGAGCUAGACCAGCUGCUCCAGAAGCCACGUGUGUGCAUGCAAGUGUGCAUGUGUGUGUAAAUUAUUCCACAAGGUAUACAUAUACAAAAUCAUCACAUCUUAUACUUCAGUAAACAAAUAAUCUUCUAAAGUCUGAAUCUUGUGAAUACAGGUCAUUUCCUGGCUAAAGCUGGAGCACCUCUCAGCAGUGAAAAAUGUGAUGGGCAGUCAUUUUUCCCCUGCUUUCUAACGUAUAAUCCAAAUAAAGUUUAUAGAAGUUCAGAGAGAAGGACAAAAUUUUCAAGUCUUCUUUUACAGAUUUUAUUUACUUAUGCCAGCCAAAUUUCUUCUGAUAAGAAAUUUUCAAUUGCCUUUGGGGGAGAUGACCACUGGCAGCCUACCACAGGGGCCAUUUUGGUGCAGGAGCAUGGGAAGAAAUCUGGCCAAGCCUGGGCUAAGAGAAGUCUGGUGUGCAGUGAGGUGUGCUCCCAGGUGCCAAAAGUGGCCACAUAGCAUUGGACUGGGCUUCUCCAGGUAGCCACGACAGCAGCACUCC